GAUAGUGGUAGCUCAGUGGCUAAGGUGUUGGACUUCUACUCAGAAGGUCAUGAGCUCAAAUCCCAGUUCUACCA